GAUGACCCGUACGGGAUUUGAACCCAUGUUACCGCCGUGAAAGGGCGGUGUCUUAACCACUUGACCAACGGGCC
rnacentral:tRNA from 1 species